rnacentral:rRNA from 1 species
UACGGAGGAUCCGAGCGUUAUCCGGAUUUAUUGGGUUUAAAGGGUGCGCAGGCGGGAGAUUAAGUCGGCGGUGAAAUUUUGCAGCUUAACUGUAAAAGUGCCAUCGAUACUGGUUUCCUUGAGUGUAGAUGAAGUAGGCGGAAUUUGUGGUGUAGCGGUGAAAUGCAUAGAUAUCACGAGGAACUCCGAUUGCGCAGGCAGCUUACUAAACUACUACUGACGCUCAGGCACGAAGGCGUGGGGAUCAAACAGGAUUAGAUACCCGUGUA